GGCCGCUGCAGCCAGCCCCUCACGGGACGGCCACACAGCUCAGGAGAGCACUUGAUCCAGAAAAAAGCACCGAUUUACAACCCUGAGCAAACUCUCUGAAAGAAUGUGUUUGCCCACGCAGCGCUGCUGAGAGGCACGGAAGAAAGCGAUUUUAAGGGCUCUUUAAACUGGAAUGUAGACGUAUCAAAGGUAAAACCCUGAAGUGCACAGGUCUCAAAUUACUCCCACUGAGCCCUGCCAGGACCAGCCCUCCUGCAGUCUCCUCAGAGGCAGAGCAGAAGAACAGAGUUGUCUCAGUGCCAUCUUAGAGAUGCCAUAUGGCCACUCCUGAAUUCACUUUGGUCACCAGUUUGUGUUAUGAGAUGACACCAACCUGCAGCAUUUCAGCUACACUGUGAUUACUGCACAGCUCUAGAAGCACACAUUCCAAUUGUGAAAUUGCUAAUAAAAUGAAUAAAUGGGUGGGGGGAGAGUUGCUCAAUGUCAAACAUCUUUCUAUAAGCAGUCAUGUUUUAAAGCUGGUUUUGUUUUUUUUUUGGUGGGGCAAAACUCAAGCAGUUUCUGCAGCCAGAACUGGUGAGUUGAUAAAGGUAAUAAAUCAUGAGCAGGAUUAAACUUUAGCUUACAAGACAAAAAUCAUUCCCAUUUUCCAUGAGGACAGGAACUUGCCAUCUUUCCUCUCCGAUUUUGACUUUUGCGCAGCAUUGGAAGAAAAUCUCAGUCCAUAUUCUACUGUUGGUCUUAGGCACCAAAAAUUAAUUGCUGGGUUUGCUUUUUAAAAGCAACCAUUUGCAUGGAUGCUUCCCUCUUUUGAGAUGGAAAGCACCCAAGAAACUCACUUGAUUCAGAGCUUGUGUGUGCUGCUUCCCUUUAUCCCUGGAGUAACGUAUUGUUUUUUUAAGCAAAGCAAACAGAGAGGAUUUAGUAGAAUACAAUUUCUUUUGUUUUAUUGCUCCAUUAAUUUUAUUUAUGUUCAAAUAUGCUGCUUUUAUCAAUUUGGUAUGAGCAAGAGAGAUGCAUCAGGAGGAAGGAACAUGAUUGUACUUCAGAAUGAGGCAUUGGGCAGAACAGGAGCAGGAGAUGCCUGCACCACCUCGGAUGAUCAGUCAUAUUAAUGCAGCACAGCCUUGAUAGGUAGCAAUUACAGGAUAAUAGAUAGCCCAAGCAUUAUUCAGGAAUCUACUGCAACCAU